rnacentral:lncRNA from 1 species
UUAUUUUGCGACGUUGCCUAAAUGCGGUGCCCGAAUGCAAUGAUUUUGUGCUUUUGUACGUUUUGCUUUCUUUACCAUCUUUUGUGUGCCGUGAAAUGUAAUUCCUCAUAUUUUGUUUUUCUAAGUGUGAUAGAUUUACAGCAGUCCACUUGUUUAGUGCGUUCAGUAAGGCUAUUUAUGAAAACCACAACAAGGCGCCUGUGGCGAGAUAUGAACCUGUCUCCACUUAGGUCUGUAGAUCAACACUUUUAAUACUGAAAGAAAAAAAAAAAGAGAAAACCAAAACCAUUUAUGCAGACGCAUGUGGACUUGUUUGUAUUUGAUAAUCAAGACAGAAAGAGAAGAGAUAAUUGCUUUUCACUUCCACGGCAACUGGUCUGACCUGCAUAGUGCAUACAGUGGAGUAGUAGCGAGAACACUAGCAACAGUUGUAGUAAUGGUAGAGUAGGAGUGAGAACAGCAGCGACUGCUGUAGUAAUUGUAAUGGUAAUGGUACUUUGGUAGUGAGAGGAACUGAAAGGAAGGAGAGGGAGGAGAAACGAGAAUGAAAGACUAAACAAGAAAUACUUCCAACUGACACCUGUCGGUUCGUUUGUAAACAACAUUUUAUAGUACUCAUGACUUCAGCUAAACAAAUUCUAAAUAUAGAUCGAUCUUCUUGUAUAUAUGUAUGUAGUUCCUCCAUGUAUAGUGACAAAAUUAUUGGCUCAGCCUUGACAAAGCAGGUUAACAUUAAUCAGGCACUCGUUUGAAAUCGCUCCAAAUUUAAUUGCAUUCCCAGUUGGGAUUUGGCAGAGUUGGUGUUGGGUCCAGGGAUUGUUUUCUUGUCCCUUUCCAGUAGAAAAUAGCGGUACAAGUGACUUUGUGUUGUUAUUUAUAUAAGGCCACGCUUUGCCAUUUAUGGCGAGCUUUUCCAACUCUUGACAAUGUUUUUAACGUUGGGCAUCAAUCAACAUUUUACUGUAAACCUUCGUGUCGACAUUUCAAAGCUUAUAUCUUCUAAUGCUUACAACCAAAUAUUUCGAACCUGUCUUGUCAAAAGUAAAACAACGUAAUAAGGAAUUAAUUAAUAAGGAAGUUGGAUGCAUUUAUCAGAAUUAAUGUGGUGACCUUGUUUAUUCCGACGAUCGAUUUCAGCAAUUAAGCGUGGUAUUAACAAGGUUAAUGUCAACUAUAGAGAAAAAGGAAAUAUAAGCUGGAUGGAAAAUACCAGGACGCUUCAUAGUGUGCAGUUGGCAUUUUUAAAAAAUAAAAAAAACUUACUGCAGUGUCUAAGUUAACAUCACCAUCUGAUCGUUAGAUGCUUUACUGCAAAUGUUCAGACCAAAUACCCUGUUACUUCUCUGGCAAUCCUAUUGCUGCAGAAAUAUCCUGCAGGUGUUCUAACUGAGCACCGGUUGCAUCGUUCUCACCAGUCUGGGACCACCUGCAAGGAUCACUGUCCGUCCUCACACGUGUUGCUAGUAUGUGUCUACGAUGCUGGAAAUUGCUUUAGUUUCAACACCUUGUUUCAGAAAAAAUCAUUUGCCAGCCCAGAUAAAUAUAUCACUGAAAUUCCAGUAGCUUCAUCCAGGCUUCCAAAAUCCUGAGAAACACUGUUCCCUCUUACCUUAAGAAGAUAACAACCAUGCGACAACUUUGCUUUAUGAAAAGCUAAAAUUGCUUUGGAACUCUGUCAGUGAGGAGGUUGCAGGUAAUGUGACAAAGAUUUUGACAUCAAAGAAAGCACCCAUGCUGGUGCUUCAUAAAGAGCAUCCAGUACACUCUGUAAAGUGGUUAGUGUUAAGAAGGACUUCGAGUCAGAAACUGUGCUAAAACUGGUGCAGCCCCUGGCCUUGCCAGUUCCUGUCAAAUCAUCCACCCAAUGCCAGUAAGGAAAACAGAUGUUUGAUGAUGAUGGUGACGAUGAUGACAGAGACGACAAUGAUGAAUAAAUGUUUAAGUGAAGUUAACAGUUUUUGUGCAUUUUUAAAUGGCUGAUAUGUGUCUUCCUUUCUGUAAAUGUUUCAAUUUCAGCACCUGGCCUCAAAUUAACUUCCUUGCUUAUCUUGGAAGUUAGGGAUUUUGUGAAUCUGGAAUGGAACCAGGUGUAACCACUUAAACCAGUUCACCAUUUCCAUGCAUGAAGGAACAUUGAGGAUGACGACGAUGGUGAUGGGAGUAGUGUUUGUAUAAAUGAUGAUUGAAGGAUCAUCUUUGGAAAUAAUAUUGUCAAUUCUUCCUUUCAGCAUAGCUAAAAAUUUGUCUGUACUUGCUCUUGUUUGUCUUGGCUUUGACUUGAUUUUACUCUGAAUUUAGUGAACAAAAUUAAAAAGGAAGACUACAAAUGACAAGGCAAUGAGAUAAUUUCUAUAUGCCAGGAAUGGCAACUGAGUUCCCCAUUAAAACCACACUUUAGUCUUUAAAAAUGGAUACAUUAGAUAAUUAGUUCUGGGUUCUUAAAAAAUACUUGAUGGUCUUGGCUUGAAAACCCUUGAUUCUAGGUUCACUCAGUCUGAGUUCACCCGGUGCUAAACAACAACAUGAUUCAGUGGAUAUUAUGUUAGUGAGUCAGUUAAAAAAGUUUCAAACUAGUUAUUAAGUUACUGAGGUUGCGUUGUGCCUUAACCCUUUCGUCACCAACCCGGCAGAAACCAGCCCUGGCUCCGAGUACAAAUGUCUUGUUUUCAUAUGUUUUGAAUUAAAAUCUUCCACCAAACCUUAAUCACAAUUAAUGUUCCUGACACUUGCUAAAUGAUAACUAAAUCAUUUUACUAAAUUCCUUGUUAUAUUUAAAAUAAUUGAAAGAAACACAGAACAUCUCAAAAUAAAUUCAGUAACGAAAGGGUUAAAUAAGAAGCUAAACUGCUCUGCCUCGUUUAUGUGACAGCAUUCAGGUAAGAAAGAAAGAUAAAAUGUGAGAGUUGGUUGAACAUUUCAAAAGUAGCAUCAUUGUCCACAACAUUGGGAUCAAAUUCCAUCUUACAAAA